CAGCAGCCGCGGGAAUACGUAGGGUGCGAGCGUUAAUCGGAAUUACUGGGCGUAAAGCGGGCGCAGACGGUUACUUAAGCAGGAUGUGAAAACCCCGGGCUCAACCUGGGAACUGCGUUCUGAACUGGGUAACUAGAGUGUGUCAGAGGGAGGUAGAAUUCCACGUGUAGCAGUGAAAUGCGUAGAGAUGUGGAGGAAUACCGAUGGCGAAGGCAGCCUCCUGGGAUAACACUGACGUUCAUGCCCGAAAGCGUGGGUAGCAAACAGGAUUAGAUACCCGAGUAGUCCCUGUCUCUUAUAC
rnacentral:rRNA from 1 species